GGGCUCGUAGCUCAGUCCGGUAGAGCGCUCGGUUCGCAUCCGAGAGGCCUCGGGUUCAAAUCCCGACGAGUCCA
rnacentral:tRNA from 1 species